GAGUGCAGUAAUUUAUAUAUAUGUCAAAACUCUAUAGUGAUAUCAAAGUGGUUGUGAUUUCUCGAAUUUGAGUCUAAAUUAAAGUUAUUUAUAAUUUUUUUUUUAAAGUUUGUUAAUUUCAGAAAAUAUCAAGAGACCUAUUUAUAUACAGAUGGGCAUGAAUAAAUUCUCCAUGAACAUGCACAUGAUCUUGUUCCCUCCUCCAACAAAGACAUGGGACAUUUCCCCUACUAAGUCUACCCCAUAUAUAUAAGAAUUAUAGCAAUCUAUCUACCAUAUAAAAUCCAAAAUGAAUAAAUAAUUGAAGGAACUGCAGCACACAAUAACUGCAAGAAACAACAGGUUCGUUGAUUAUUACAAUCAUUAAUUAAUAGGCAAACCAUUAACUCUAAACAAACUAGACAUAAUCAAGUCUUGCAACUCAAAAAAGACUCAUCAUUUUUCCCUGUCCAAAGCCAUUAAUACUCAAGCAGUAGUACAUAUAUAAAAUAUAUAUUAAUUAUGUAACAAACCACGACCAUUAAUACUGAAACAACCCCAAGAACCUGCUCAAUCCAUCUGCAUGCGAUUGCUUUUGUACUUGUCCUGCUUCACACUUUAGAUAAAAGGAGCAGGCUCUGGUUGCUCGAUCACUACUUCAGCUUCUGUUCUUGCGUUUCUCCAUGGCUCUUGGUGCUGAAUUCCAAAUUAAAGAAAAUUAAAAAAAUUUCAAUGAUUUCAUUAGCUUUUGCCUGAAUUAACUACAAUGAUUUGGAAGUCAAUUAUUAACUUAAUUAAUUAAUAUAAGAGUGUCAUCAACGAAAGAGUAAUUUACUUAAUUAUUUUAUUACUGAUUAAAAGGUUAACCAGGUCUCAAGUUAGUGCUUUUUCUUUUCCAUCUUUCAAGAUUAGCUAGAUUAAUUAAGUACUAACCAAGUCCAGUUGCCUCCGUUCCUUUCAUUAUACGCAGCCGUUUGCAUGAUUGAACAAACAUCUCCCAUGGGACAUCACCCACUAGCAUCCAGUCACCGUCCUUAUCUUCAUAAGUUGGAACAUAGUCAGUGCCAUUUAGAAGAUCUACGAGCUUGCUCUCAUUCAGGAAAUCUUUCAUUCCUUGGGAUCCACAAUUUCCUUCAAUCAAAAUUAACACGUAAAGAAGCAGCCAUCUGAGUGAUCUAAUUACUCAAAAAUUACUAUCAAUUACAUUAAUUUGUUCAUAUAUACCUAUAGUGCUGAAGGAACUGAACAUCUUUCCUAGGGCAUGAGAGAGCUCCUGGUAGCUCUUGUACAUCUUUAAGUCUACUUUUCGGAGGUAAGGUGCCCCAUCCAUGCUAACCUUGAUGAAGGUUGCAUUGCCAUUGCUGCCUAGCUUCUGCUCACAGUCCUCGGUGCUGCUCUUUUGCACAGAUAACAUGUUCUUUCGGAAGGAUCGCACUGGAGGCCAACCCACUACUUGUGCCUUAGCUGGGGGCUUCGCUGGAUCAGCAGCAAGAAGAUUCUCGAGUCUAUGUAAAUUGUUGGUGUUGUCGUUUGGAUCGAUCCCAGGGUCCUUGGAAGAAAGAUUAAGCUUCAAAUCCAUUGUCUCAGAGAAGCCUCUCUUUCUUGCCACCUCUGCUUCGCUCGCUCCACCAUUAUUUCCUGGUAACCCUAACCUCAGCUCAGUCUCCUCGAACCCCAUUUUUGUCUUGUCUACUGCUUCCAUGGCGUCUGUUUUUAUGGUUCUUGAAAUGGUUGAGAAAAUGGGAAAUGUAAAGUUUUGUUUGUGAGAAAUGAUAAUAAUAAUACCGAAUCAAAGGGAAGGUUUUGUUAAGAGUUUGUGU
rnacentral:misc_RNA from 1 species